rnacentral:rRNA from 1 species
GACAGGGGAUGCAAGUGUUAUCCGGAAUGAUUGGGCGUAAAGGGUUUUUAGGUGGAUAUAUAAGUCUUUUAUUAAAUUAUUGAUCUUAAAUUAAUAAUUGUAUAAGAAACUAUAUAUCUAGAGUAUAGAAUGGAUAAUUUCAAUUUUCAGUGUAGCGGUAAAAUGCGUCGAGACUGAAAGGAAAACCAAUAGCGAAAGCAACUUAUUAGGCUAAUACUGACACUCAAGAACGAAAGCUAAGGGAGCAAAUGGG